AUUGAACGCUGGCGGCAUGCCUUACACAUGCAGGUCGAACGGUAACAGGUCUUCGGAUGCUGACGAGUGGCGAACGGGUGAGUAAUACAUCGGAACGUGCCCGAUCGUGGGGGAUAACGCAGCGAAAGCUGUGCUAAUACCGCAUACGAUCUACGGAUGAAAGCGGGGGAUCGCAAGACCUCGCGCGGACGGAGCGGCCGAUGGCAGAUUAGGUAGUUGGUGGGAUAAAAGCUUACCAAGCCGACGAUCUGUAGCUGGUCUGAGAGGACGACCAGCCACACUGGGACUGAGACACGGCCCAGACUCCUACGGGAGGCAGCAGUGGGGAAUUUUGGACAAUGGGGGAAACCCUGAUCCAGCCAUGCCGCGUGCAGGAUGAAGGCCCUCGGGUUGUAAACUGCUUUUGUACGGAACGAAAAGGUCCUUUCUAAUAAAGAGGGCUCAUGACGGUACCGUAAGAAUAAGCACCGGCUAACUACGUG
rnacentral:rRNA from 1 species